ensembl:misc_RNA 7SK 7SK RNA
GAAUGUGAGGGCAAUCUGGCUACUGUAUGUCAUCCCGUUGAUUCCCAGGGCUGAGCCGGUUGGCCUGGCUGGCUGGGCCGGUGUCCCCUCUUUACCUCACCAUUCCAUGUGUGUCUCCCCUGAAGUUGUGUACUCAGUCAGAGGGCAGCCUUCCUUGAAUAGAGAUGGGACUUUUUUUGGUUGAGGGUUUUAGAGCAGCUGCACACUGUGGCUAGAACCUCCAAACAGGCCCGCAAGGAAACGAAGCAGGGAUGGAGAGACAGCAUGUGCAGGCCCAGGUUCCAUCCCAGCACCAUAUGGUCCCU